AGAUAUAUGGCUUCCCAUGGUGGCCAGCCCGUAUUCUUACUAUAACUGUGAGCCGGAGAGAUAACGGCCUUUUAGCCCGGCAGGAGGCCCGUAUUUCAUGGUUUGCAUCUCCAACAACAUCUUUCCUUGCUCUGUCACAACUCUCCCCCUUUCUAGAAAACUUCCAGUUACGGUUUAAUAAGAAGAGAAAGGGUCUGUAUCGCAGGGCUAUCACAGAGGCGGCUAAGGCUGCUAAGCAGCUGACCCCUGAAGUGCGGGCUUUGUUGACACAAUUUGAAACAUGAACAUGGACAGUAAGGUAGGCAAGAACCACUGGAGCUGCUGCAGAUCCCUGGCUAGUUAGGAGUCGUUUCCACUAGCUAGCUUAGCCAAACUGGAGAGAAAUUGCACUCACUUGGCUUUUUAUAUGUAAUAUAUAGCCAUUUUUAGACUAAGAAGCUUAAAACUGAAACAUGCUUCAAAUUUCCUCUUCAAGAAGUAGGAUUUUAAGAAUAUUUUCCAGUUUUGAAAUUGAAAACCAUCCUAAGGCAUAGAAGCCAUAGCUUCAAAUGAAACAGUUGUUGCAGGGACUGUUAAUUGCCAUUUGUAGCUAGUGUAUGUGUGUGUGUGCAUAUAAAUACAUGUACAUACACACAACAACACACCUACAUACAUACACAUGUAUAAACUAUUGUCUGUCACCAUGUGACACAGGUUGCAAUAUUUGGGGUUUUAGUAAGGGCUGGAGCUUGGGGAACGGUGGCUACUCAAUGAUUACUUGUUUUAUAACAGUGAACACUUAGACUCUCUAUGCACAUAAUGGUGUAAAAGCUUGGUCCUGGGUAUUUGACAGAUAGGUGCUUGCUGUGACACAUUGGGAUGCUUGCUGUUUAGUAAUAGCUGACCAGGCUGUACACAUCGCCCAGUAUGGGAUUAAAACUAUUAAGACUAGACAAGUUCGAGUCAGCACUCUCUUGUCCGGUUAGGUUGUAAAACAAACAGAUACUUAGUUGGGACAUUUCGAUAGGUUUUAUUUGGCGUAUAUAAAUAGUUGAGUGAAAAUUUAGUCAGAUUUCUCCUGACUGGCUGUUCCUAAAUUCUUAGGACAGGUCCUAGUAAUUAACACUUUGUGAAUUAAUGUCAUGUGUAAUUGUUGCAUUUUGGAUGUACCUAAUUUGAUAGUUUUUAAGAAGCAUUUUCCAGUUAAGGUAAUCUGUUUGCAGGUCAGAAAAUGAGAAAUGUAAUUGUAUAAUGCAUUGAAAUGUAAAAAAAAACAAAAAAAGCUGUAAAUAAAAUCAACUAAAUCC
rnacentral:lncRNA from 1 species